rnacentral:rRNA from 1 species
AGAGUUUGAUCCUGGCUCAGAUUGAACGCUGGCGGCGUGGUUAAAGCAUGCAAGUCGAACGGGACCGCAAGGUCUAGUGGCGGAAGGGUGAGUAAUACGAUCGAACGUACCCUGAGGUGGGGGAUAGGCACGGGAAACUGUGCGUAAUACCCCAUGAUCUCCUCGGAGCAAAGAUUUCUCGCCUUGGGAGCGGCGAUCGUCCUAUCAGGUAGUUGGCGGGGUAAUAGCCCACCAAGCCGAAGACGGGUAGCAGGUGUGAGAGCACGGCCUGCCACAUCGGGACUGAGACACUGCCCGGACUCCUACGGGAGGCUGCAGCGACGAAUCUUCCGCAAUGGGCGCAAGCCUGACGGAGCGACGCCGCGUGCGGGAUGAAGCGGCUUUGCCGUGUAAACCGCUGUCAGGGGAUAGAAACAUUGAUCAUCUCCAAAGGAAGGGGCGACUAACUCUGUGCCAGCAGUCGCGGUAAGACAGAGGCCCCGAGCGUUAAUCGGAAUCACUGGGCUUAAAGGGUGCGUAGGCGGACUUGUAAGUGUCGUGUGAAAGCCCACCGCUCAACGGUGGAACCGCACGGCAAACUGCGAGUCUAGAGGAACUCAGAGGCCGGCAGAACGAUUGGUGUAGCGGUGAAAUGCGUAGA